AUCUCCUUAAAAAUCCUUGAUAGAAUCUCAAAACAAAAACAACAAAACCCAAAAAAGGGUUGAACUACGAACAAUCAAAAGAGAAAAAAAAAUGAACCCAGAAAUCACCUUUUUUGGUGCUUUUUGAUUUUUGUAUUCUGAUUACGUAUAUUUUUUUACAGCAUGGUCUUGGUCCUUUUUAUAGCGUUUAUUUACAGAGUAGAAUAAAAUAAAAAUAAAAUCCAAACAAAUCGCCCCUGCUCUGUCAUCCUUACUUUUUUUCUCUCUGCCCCUUUUGUUUGGUGUCUGUUUCUGCUGCUUUUUUGUGCGUCUCUUUUAGGUACGGA
rnacentral:lncRNA from 1 species